rnacentral:rRNA from 1 species
UACAGAGGGGGCAAGCGUUGUCCGGAUUUACUGGGCGUAAAGAGCGCGCAGGCGGUCGUUCAAGUCGAGUGUGAAAGCCCCCGGCUCAACUGGGGAGGGUCACUCGAUACUGAUCGACUUGAAGGCAGGAGAGGGAAGCGGAAUUCCCGGUGUAGUGGUGAAAUGCGUAGAUAUCGGGAGGAACACCAGAGGCGAAGGCGGGUUACUGGGCUGAUACUGACGCUGAUGCGCGAAAGCCAGGGGAGCAAACGGG